UAGGGAAUCUUCGGCAAUGGGGGCAACCCUGACCGAGCAACGCCGCGUGAGUGAAGAAGGUUUUCGGAUCGUAAAGCUCUGUUGUAAGAGAAGAACGAGUGUGAGAGUGGAAAGUUCACACUGUGACGGUAACUUACCAGAAAGGGACGGCUAACUACGUGCCAGCAGCCGCGGUAAUACGUAGGUCCCGAGCGUUAUCCGGAUUUAUUGGGCGUAAAGCGAGCGCAGGCGGUUAGAUAAGUCUGAAGUUAAAGGCUGUGGCUUAACCAUAGUACGCUUUGGAAACUGUUUAACUUGAGUGCAGAAGGGGAGAGUGGAAUUCCAUGUGUAGCGGUGAAAUGCGUAGAUAUAUGGAGGAACACCGGUGGCGAAAGCGGCUCUCUGGUCUGUAACUGACGCUGAGGCUCGAAAGCGUGGGGAGCAAACAGGAUUAGAUACCCUGGUAGUCCACGCCGUAAACGAUGAGUGCUAGGUGUUGGGUCCUUUCCGGGACUCAGUGCCGCAGCUAACGCAUUAAGCACUCCGCCUGGGGAGUACGACNNCAAGGUUG
rnacentral:rRNA from 1 species